rnacentral:rRNA from 1 species
CAAUAGCGUAUAUUAAAGUUGUUGCAGUUAAAAAGCUCGUAGUUGAAUUUUUGCUUGCCGCCGAUGUCGGAACUUCCGUACGUUCGGCGGCGUGCAUCCUUGGGCGGAACCUGUGUGGCAUUAGGUUGUCGUGCAGGGGAUGCUCAUCGUUUACUGUGAAAAAAUUAGAGUGUUCAAAGCAGGCUUACGCCGUUGAAUAUAUUAGCAUGGAAUAAUAAGAUAGGACCUUGGUACUAUUUUGUUGGUUUGCGCACCGAGGUAAUGAUUAACAGGGACAGUUGGGGGUAUUCGUAUUCCAUUGUCAGAGGUGAAAUUCUUGGAUUUCUGGAAGACGAACUACUGCGAAAGCAUUUACCAAGGAUGUUUUCAUUAA